ACGCGAAAGUCCCGCAAGGGAUCAGUAGAGUGGCAAACGGGUGAGUAACACGUGGGUGACCUGCCUUCGAGUGGGGGAUAACGUCCCGAAAGGGACGCUAAUACCGCAUGACAUCCUGCUCUUGAACGAGUGGAGAUCAAAGCUGGGGAUCGCAAGACCUAGCGCUCAAAGAGGGGCCCGCGCCUGAUUAGCUAGUUGGUGGGGUAACGGCUCACCAAGGCGACGAUCAGUAUCCGGCCUGAGAGGGCGGACGGACACACUGGGACUGAGACACGGCCCAGACUCCUACGGGAGGCAGCAGUGGGGAAUUGUUCGCAAUGGGCGCAAGCCUGACGACGCAACGCCGCGUGGAGGAUGAAGACCUUCGGGUCGUAAACUCCUUUCGAUCGAGACGAACGGCCUCCGGGUGAACAAUCCGGAGGAGUGACGGUACCGAGAGAAGAAGCCCCGGCUAACUCCGUGCCAGCAGCCGCGGUAAUACGGGGGGGGCAAGCGUUGUUCGGAAUUACUGGGCGUAAAGGGCUCGUAGGCGGCCAACUAAGUCAGACGUGAAAUCCCUCGGCUUAACCGGGGAACUGCGUCUGAUACUGGAUGGCUAGAGUUUGGGAGAGGGAUGCGGAAUUCCAGGUGUAGCGGUGAAAUGCGUAGAUAUCUGGAGGAACACCGGUGGCGAAGGCGGCAUCCUGGACCAACACUGACGCUGAGGAGCGAAAGCCAGGGGAGCAAACGGGAUUAGAUACCCCGGUAGUCCUGGCCCUAAACGAUGAAUGCUUGGUGUGGCGGGUAUCGAUCCCUGCCGUGCCGAAGCUAACGCAUUAAGCAUUCCGCCUGGGGAGUACGGUCGCAGGGCUGAAACUCAAA
rnacentral:rRNA from 1 species